rnacentral:rRNA from 1 species
AGAGUUUGAUCCUGGCUCAGAUUGAACGCUGGCGGCAUGCCUUACACAUGCAAGUCGAACGGCAGCAUGGAAGAGCUUGCCCUUCUGAUGGCGAGUGGCGAACGGGUGAGUAAAGCAUCGGAACGUACCGUGUAGUGGGGGAUAACGUAGCGAAAGUUACGCUAAUACCGCAUACGCACUGAGGUGGAAAGCAGGGGAUCGCAAGACCUUGCGCUAUACGAGCGGCCGAUGUCAGAUUAGCUAGUUGGUAGGGUAAAGGCCUACCAAGGCGACGAUCUGUAGCGGGUCUGAGAGGAUGAUCCGCCACACUGGGACUGAGACACGGCCCAGACUCCUACGGGAGGCAGCAGUGGGGAAUUUUGGACAAUGGGCGAAAGCCUGAUCCAGCCAUGCCGCGUGAGUGAAGAAGGCCUUCGGG